rnacentral:rRNA from 1 species
GACGAACGCUGGCGGCGUGCUUAACACAUGCAAGUCGAACGGAAAGACCCUGCUUUUGUGGGGUUCUCGAGUGGCGAACGGGUGAGUAAAACGUGAGUAACCUGCCCUUGUCUUUGGGAUAACUUCAGGGAACUGGGGCUAAUACCGGAUAGGAGCUCCUGCUGCAUGGGGGGGGUUAGAAAGUUUCGGCGGUUGGGGAUGGACUCGCGGCUUAUCAGCUUGUUGGUGGGGUAGUGGUUUACCAAGGCUUUGACGGGUAGCCGGCCUGAGAGGGUGACCGGCCACCUUGGGCCUGAGGUACGGCCCAGACGCCUACGGUAGGCAGUAGGGGGGAAUAUUGCACAAUGGGCGGACGCCUGAUGCAGCAACGCCGCGUUCGGGAUGCCGGGCUUCGGGUUGUAAACCGCUUUCGCCUGUGACGAAGCGUGAGUGACGGUAAUGGGUAAAGAAGCACCGGCUAACUACGUG